UACAGUCAUAUCACAUCAAAACACAGAUUCUCUUGCGAACAACGAAGUUAAGGAACGUUGAGCCUGGCUAGUACCUAGAUGGGUGGACGUUUGGGAAUACGAGGUA